rnacentral:rRNA from 1 species
UCAAUAAGCGGAGGAAAAGAAACUAACAAGGMUUCCCUUAGUAACUGCGAGUGAAGAGGGAAGAGCUCAAAUUUAAAAUCUGGCAGUGCUUUGCUGUCCGAGUUGUAAUCUAGAGAAGUGCUGCCCGUGCUGGACCAUGUACAAGUCUCCUGGAAUGGAGCGUCACAGAGGGUGAGAAUCCCGUCUUCGACAUGGACUGCCAGUGCAUUUGUGGUGUGCUCUCAAAGAGUCGAGUUGUUUGGGAAUGCAGCUCUAAAUGGGUGGUAAACUCCAUCUAAAGCUAAAUAUUGGCGAGAGACCGAUAGCGAACAAGUACCGUGAGGGAAAGAUGAAAAGAACUUUGGAAAGAGAGUUAAACAGUAUGUGAAAUUGUUGAAAGGGAAACGCUUAAAGUCAGUCGUGUCGGCCAGGGAUCAACUCAGUUUUAUUUGCUGGGUGUACUUCCUGAUCUGAUGGGCCAACAUCAGUUUUGACUGCUGGAGAAGGAUAGAGGGAAUGUGGCACCUUUUUGGUGUGUUAUAGCUCUCUGUCAGAUGCAGUGGUUGGGACUGAGGAAAGCAGCAUGCCGCAAGGCCGGGUCAUUUGACCACGUUCAUGCUGAGGAUGUUGGCAUAAUGGCUUUAAUCGACCCGUCUUGA